GUAACGACCCCGGAAAUAUUAAAAUGAAAUGAGUAUUUAAAUAUAUCAAAUGCGGAAGCGAGAUCAAAAUUUCAAUUAACAUCCCUUACACGAAAAACCAAACAAACGUACUUAAAAUAUAAAAGGUUAAACUAACUAAGAGAGGAACUCGAAAAUAAGACUAUGCGUAUGUCUACAGAGUCUCUAGGCAUCCCCUUCGUCGUCCUCCUGCGGAAC
rnacentral:lncRNA from 1 species